rnacentral:lncRNA from 1 species
UUAAAUGAAAGAACUCUUUAAGUUGUAGUGUAACUUGUUUUUCAGUUUCUUGUUUUUGUAGUUUGUUCCCGAGAUAUUUCAAUUUGUUUGAUAUGUAAAUGUGUGAAUAUGUCCGCUAAUUUAUGACGUCAUGUUGGUUGCAAGCUCAACUUACACUGGUUAUAAAUGUAUUAACUCUAAAAACUGUUGAUAUCUGUUCACGUUUUUCUACACUGUUUCAUGAUAUUUACCAGUGAGUGAAGUUUGAUAUUAUCAUCUUGGAUGAUAGCAGUGAUAUUCAACCAUUUUGAAGAGCUUGCAACCAACAUGAC